rnacentral:rRNA from 1 species
GUGUCAGCCGCCGCGGUAAUACGUAGGGUGCGAGCGUUAAUCGGAAUUACUGGGCGUAAAGCGUGCGUAGGCGGUUUGCUGUGUCUGCGGUGAAAGCCCCGGGCUCAACCUGGGAAUGGCCGUGGAAACUGGCGGGCUGGAGUGUGGCAGAGGGGGGUGGAAUUCCGCGUGUAGCAGUGAAAUGCGUAGAGAUGCGGAGGAACACCGAUGGCGAAGGCAACCCCCUGGGCUGACACUGACGCUCAGGCACGAAAGCGUGGGGAGCAAACAGGAUUAGAUACCCCCGUAGUCC